rnacentral:rRNA from 1 species
UACAGAGGGCUCAAGCGUUGUUCGGAUUCAUUGGGCGUAAAGGGUGCGUAGGCGGCGCGGUAAGUCGGGUGUGAAAUCUCGGAGCUUAACUCCGAAACUGCAUUCGAUACUGGCGUGCUUGAGGACUGGAGAGGAGACUGGAAUUUACGGUGUAGCGGUGAAAUGCGUAGAUAUCGUAAGGAAGACCAGUGGCGAAGGCGGGUCUCUGGACAGGUCCUGACGCUGAGGCACGAAGGUCAGGGGAGCAAACGGG